CAGUUCGGAUUGUAGGCUGAAACUCGCCUACAUGAAGCUGGAGUUACUAGUAAUCGCAGAUCAGAAUGCUGCGGUGAAUGCGUUCCCGGGUCUUGUACACACCGCCCGUCACACCACGGAAGUUGGGGGCGCCCGAAGCCACUUAGCUAACCCUUUUGGGAAGCGAGUGUCGAAGGUGAAAUCAAUAACUGGGGUGAAGUCGUAACAAGGUAGC
rnacentral:rRNA from 1 species